GGUGGCUCAGCGGUAGAGUGUUUGCCUUGCAUGCAUGAGGCCCUGGGUUCAAUUCCUCAGCACCA
rnacentral:tRNA from 1 species